UGCAGUCGAGGGGUAACAGGAUUUAGUUUACUAGAUUGCUGACGACCGGCGCACGGGUGAGUAACGCGUAUACAAUUUACCUUUUACUGGAGGAUAGCCCAGAGAAAUUUGGAUUAAUACUCCAUAGUAUUAUUUGGUCACCUGAUCGAGUAAUUAAAGUUCCGGCGGUAAAAGAUGAGUAUGCGUCCUAUUAGCUAGAUAGUAAGGUAACGGCUUACCAUGGCGACGAUAGGUAGGGGUCCUGAGAGGGAGAUCCCCCACACUGGUACUGAGACACGGACCAGACUCCUACGGGAGGCAGCAGUGAGGAAUAUUGGGCAAUGGAGGCAACUCUGACCCAUCCAUGCCGCGUGCAGGAAGACUGCCCUAUGGGUUGUAAACUGCUUUUAUACAGGAAGAAACUUAUCCACGUGUGGAUAACUGACGGUACUGUAAGAAUAAGGACCGGCUAACUCCGUGCCAGCAGCCGCGGUAAUACGGAGGGUCCAAGCGUUAUCCGGAAUCAUUGGGUUUAAAGGGUCCGUAGGCGGGCAAUUAAGUCAGAGGUGAAAUCCCACAGCUCAACUGUGGAACUGCCUUUGAUACUGGUUGUCUUGAAUUACAGUGAAGUAGAUAGAAUAUGUAGUGUAGCGGUGAAAUGCAUAGAUAUUACAUAGAAUACCGAUUGCGAAGGCAGUCUACUAACUGUAUACUGACGCUAAUGGACGAAAGCGUGGGGAGCGAACAGGAUUAGAUACCCUGGUAGUCCACGCCGUAAACGAUGGUCACUAGUUGUUGGGGUGCAGUCGAGCAGUGAUU
rnacentral:rRNA from 1 species